UACAUGGGGUGCAAACGUUGCUCGGAAUCAUUGGGCGUAAAGAGCUCGUAGGCGGUCUGUCGCGUCUGGUGUGAAAAUCCAGGGCUUAACCCUGGACCUGCAUCGGGUACGGGCAGACUAGAGUGCGGUAGGGGAGAUCGGAAUUCCUGGUGUAGCGGUGAAAUGCGCAGAUAUCGGGAGGAACACCUGUGGCGAAAGCGGCUCACUGGACCACAACUGACGCUGAGGCGCGAAAGCUAGGGGAGCAAACAGG
rnacentral:rRNA from 1 species